GGAGUAGUGGUGUAAUGGUUUAAAAAUAAGACUAUGAAUCUGGAAGCCAGGGUUCAAAUCCCUACUCGGCCA